CCUGUCCCUCCGGAGGAUCGUACAGCAUGGGGUUUGUAACCCCCGGUCCAUUAUUACUCAUCGUUUAAUCGAGAUCUGCAAAGAAGAGAAAAACGAAAGUUUGAUUACAGCGGCACAAUUGCAAUCGACAUCAAACAGUCCUGCCCUUGCGAUAUCGGAAUAAAUAACCUGGAGUUAUCAUCGGAUCGAAAGUGGAGCUGUGAAACACACCCUCAAAUUAUGCCUAGAAGCGUCCGCAAAUGGAAUUUCCUUGUAUUAAAAGAUAUCAAUUGCUUACGUUUGGUUGUAGGUUUAGACCAAAGUCAAACAGUAUUACUCUUAGAAUAUUCAUCGUGAUUUAUCAAAAGUUAGUCUGAGCGGUUUUUGCACUCAAAAUUGAAUAUUACGUUCUUGAUGUACCGCUGUAAAUAAAGUGCAAGCUGGUAUUGAAAAAUAUUGA